UACAGAGGGUGCGAGCGUUGUUCGGAAUUAUUGGGCGUAAAGGGCGCGUAGGCGGUGCGGUAAGUCACCUGUGAAAUCUCCUGGCUCAACUGGGAGCUUGCAGGCGAAACUGCCGUGCUGGAGUGUGGGAGAGGUGCGUGGAAUUCCUGGUGUAGCGGUGAAAUGCGUAGAUAUCAGGAGGAACACCUGUGGCGAAAGCGGCGCACUGGACCACAACUGACGCUGAGGCGCGAAAGCUAGGGGAGCAAACAGGA
rnacentral:rRNA from 1 species